GAUUAUGGCUCAGGAUGAACGCUGGCGGCGUGCCUAACACAUGCAAGUCGAACGAAGCACUGCGGAUGGAGAUUCGUCAAAAUCUGCUUUGACUUAGUGGCGGACGGGUGAGUAAUGUGUGAGCAACCUGCCUUUCAGAGGGGGACAACAGUUGGAAACGACUGCUAAUACCGCAUAAUGUAUUGGAAGGGCAUCCUUUUGAUACCAAAGGAGCAAUCCGCUGAAAGAUGGGCUCACAUCUGAUUAGCUAGUUGGUGGGGUAACGGCCUACCAAGGCUGCGAUCAGUAGCCGGACUGAGAGGUUGAACGGCCACAUUGGGACUGAGAUACGGCCCAGACUCCUACGGGAGGCAGCAGUGGGGAAUAUUGGGCAAUGGGCGAAAGCCUCGACCCAGCAACGCCGUGUGAAGGAAGAAGGUCUUCGGAUUGUAAACUUCUUUUAUGAGGGACGAAGGACGUGACGGUACCUCAUGAAUAAGCCACGGCUAACUACGUGCCAGCCGCGGC
rnacentral:rRNA from 1 species